rnacentral:tmRNA from 1 species
GGGGCUGACAGGUAUCGACGGGUUGAUGAAUGAAGGUGUAAGCAUGCAGAGCUCUGAUAACCACGCUCUUGAAAAUCGGAUAUCAAACAACAACAGGCGAAAACAAUUUCGCACUGGCUGCUUAAUCCGGAGGAUUUAGCAAUUGCCAGCCGCUUCGUUCGGGUCUAUCUGACAGCCUGAUCACUAGAAGCGGUCGACAUGUCGGGUAUUCAUCGGGAGUUGUUUCGGCCUGAUGUCUUAUCAGAAGCAUAAGGAAAAGUGCAGAUGGUGGUAGUCAGCACUUUUCCCGACAACAAAUACCACUAAGCAUGUAGAAAGCGUCAUUUUAUUCCUUCUCCGGACCCGAGUUCAAAUCUCGGCAGUUCCACCU